GGGGUUGUGGCUCAGUGGUAGAGUGCUCACCUAGCAUGUGUGAAGCACCGAGUUCAAUCCUCAGCACCGCA
rnacentral:tRNA from 1 species